AUAAUAGUGCAUUCCAUAAUAAUUUAUCCAAAUCUUGAAAGGGCUCUCUUAUAUCCACUAAAUUCACCACAUGGAGUUUGUUCAUCUAAAUGCUUACAUAGUACAAAAAGACUUUGAAAUGCGAAGAAAGACAGAGAAAGAGAGUGUCUGAGUGUGCACGGCCUAAUUGCUUGGGGUUUCAGAGAUACUCCCGAACUGAACACCAGGCCUUGUAGAUGCUGCAUCAUAGCUUUUCUCAGCUUAUCAAUUCUUUUACGAAGCUUAUAGUUCGAGAGGCAACCAUUUCUUUCUUUCAGCAUGUUCACUUGAAUUUUGACAUCUCUGUAGCUCUUUAUCAAGACGUUACUUUUUCUAGGAAUUCUCUAGCCUCACUCUCAAAAGCGUCUGCACUUUCUUUAGAUUUUGUACAGUAAAGACAUGUUUUUUUACCCCAUCCCAUGCCGAUGUUAAAGGCGUAGCACAGUACCAUAGCACAUGUGAAGCUGCAAUAUCCAUAUAUAUAGCUAGCUAGAAUAUAUGCUGGAUGGGCUGUUCUUUUCAACUCUUGAGUGAGUAUGGAUAAGGGAGUGUAUUUUCUGAGCUACGAGAAGACAAGGAAAAAACUACAGAGGAACAUACAUGAAAGUAACUGGCUCCAGGAUCACCCGUUAGUAACAAGAGUGAAGGAUGAAGUGUUUAAAUGGAAUUUACAACAUAUCAGGCCUCAUGAGAAGCAGGAAGAUGAACCAAGUGAUUGUGAGAUUUAUUUGUUCCUCUUUCUUUGUCAAAAGUAAAUAUCAACUUUUUGAUUGUGAGAUUUAUUUAAUCUCUUUUACAUUUGAAAAAAAUCACUACAUAGUCCUGUGGAUGAAACACUUUUGGUGAACCUGAAAAUUUAAAGGCACAGCAACAUUGAGAGAAGCACCAGUAAUAGUAACAGAAUUACCAGAUCAAACUUCUAAAUCCAAGCACACACUAAACAGAUAUCAAGAACAUGACACAAAUUACUUCCAGACAGACAGGGGGAAUUCAAUGGCUUAAAAUUAUGUUCAAGAUACCUUUAUCUGAAAAGUUGAAAAGAAAAGUCAGAAAGCCAAACUAAGACUUACAUAGACGCUGCUGCCACUUCAAAUUAAAUGGUGACAUAGGAAUAGUUCACUACAAUUGUGAGUGUCAUGCUUGAAACAACAUUAUAUUCUGAGGGUUAAAGAGCUUGCGGGGUUGGUCGCGUGGAACCUGUGAUCUGAUUUAUAAGAGUAAGGGAAGGAGAAGAUAAUAAAUAUAAAUUUGACCGUUUUACUAUCCUUGAGUGAGGUAUUGAUAUUUUACUUUUCAUUAUCUGAAGUAGUUGAAAAUUACGCAAAAUGAUAUAUGUAUUCCUCUUUACCAUAUAUUGCAAAUCUAGAAAAAGUUUUAAAACUGAUGAAAACAGAGAAUGAUAAAUCUCAAUUGUAAUAUUGAUCAUUGCUUAGAAUAAUCCGAGUUAAAUAAAUUUUUGCUACGAGGACUUAGUGUGC